GAUGAACGCUGGCGGCGUGCCUAAUACAUGCAAGUCGAGCGAACGGACGAGAAGCUUGCUUCUCUGAUGUUAGCGGCGGACGUGUGUGUAACACGUGUAUAACCUACCUAUAAUACUGGGAUAACUUCGGGAAACCGGAUCUAAUACCGGAUAAUAUUUUGAACCGCAUGGUUCAAUAGUGAAAGACGGUCUUGCUGUCACUUAUAGAUGGAUCCGCGCUGCAUUAGCUAGUUGGUAAGGUAACAGCUUAUCAAGGCAACGAUGCAUAGCCGACCUGAGAGAGUGAUCGGCCACACUGGAACUGAGACACGGUCCAGACUACUAAGAGAGGGCGCAGUAGGGAAUCUUCCGCAAUGGGCGAGAGCCUGACGGAGCAACGCCGAGUGAGUGAUGAAGGUCUUCGGAUCGUAAAACUCUGUUAUUAGGGAAGAACAUAUGUGUAAGUAACUGUGCACAUCUUGACGGUAACUAAUAAGAAAGCCACGGCUAACUACGUG
rnacentral:rRNA from 1 species